GAUGAACGCUAGCGGCAGGCUUAAUACAUGCAAGUCGAACGGGAAUUGGGUAGCAAUACCUGAUGAUAGUGGCGCACGGGUGCGUAACGCGUAUGCAACCUACCUUUAACAGGGGGAUAGCCCGGAGAAAUUCGGAUUAAUACCCCAUAGUAUUAUGGAGAGGCAUCUUUUCAUGAUUAAAGUUCCGGCGGUUAAAGAUGGGCAUGCGUGCCAUUAGCUAGUUGGUGAGGUAACGGCUCACCAAGGCGACGAUGGUUAGGGGUCCUGAGAGGGUUAUCCCCCACACUGGUACUGAGACACGGACCAGACUCCUACGGGAGGCAGCAGUGAGGAAUAUUGGUCAAUGGGCGGAAGCCUGAACCAGCCAUGCCGCGUGCAGGAUGACGGCCCUACGGGUUGUAAACUGCUUUUCCCCGGGGCGAAUAACCCCCUCGCGAGGGGGAGUGCCGGUACCGGGGAAGUAAGGAGUCGGCGUAACUCCGUGCCAGCAGCCGCGGUAACACGAGAGUA
rnacentral:rRNA from 1 species